UACGGGGGGAGCAAGCGUUGUUCGGAUUUACUGGGCGUAAAGGGCGCGUAGGCGGCCACUGCAAGUCGGUUGUGAAAUCUCCGGGCUUAACCCGGAAAGGUCAAUCGAUACUGCAGGGCUAGAGUGCGGAAGGGGCAACUGGAAUUCUCGGUGUAGCGGUGAAAUGCGUAGAUAUCGGGAAGAACACCCGUGGCGAAGGCG
rnacentral:rRNA from 1 species